GGAGUGGCACAAUGGUUAGCGUGUUGGGCUCAUAACCCAAAGGUCC
rnacentral:tRNA from 16 species